rnacentral:rRNA from 1 species
UUUAUGAUUAUAAUUUUAAGUUGACUCUGCCCANUGAAUUUAUUUUAAUGGCUGCAGUAUUUUGACUGUACAAAGGUAGCAUAAUAAAUUGCUUUUUAAUUGAAAGCUUGAAUGAAUGAGGUGAUAAAGUAUAAGCUUUAUUUAAAUAAUAAAUUGAAUUUUUUUUUUAAGUAAAAAAACUUAAAUUUUUUUAAGGGACGAGAAGACCCUAUAGAAUUUUAUAUAAAUUAAUAUUAAUAUAUUAAUAUUAAUUUAUAUUUUUUUGGGAGGAAAUUUAAAUUUUUAAACUUUAUUUUAUUAAUAACAUAAAUAAAUGGUUUAUUUUAAAGAUUUUAAAAUUAUAAAUUUAAAAUUAAAUUACCUUAGGGAUAACAGCGUAAUAUUUUUUGAAAGUUCUUAUAGAAAAAAAUGAUU